rnacentral:rRNA from 1 species
GACGAACGCUGGCGGCGUGCUUAACACAUGCAAGUCGAGCGGAAAGGCCCCUUGUGGGUACUCGAGCGGCGAACGGGUGAGUAACACGCGAGUAAUCUGCCCUUCACUUCAGGAUAGCUCCCGGAAACGGGGAUUAAUACUGGAUAUGACGCGCCUGCCCAGGUGGGUGUGUGGAAAGUUUUUUCGGUGGGGGAUGUGCUGGCGGCCUAUCAGCUUGAUGGUGGGGUAAUGGCCUACCAUGGCUUCGACGGGUAGCCGGCCUGAGAGGGUGACCGGUCACACUGGGACUGAGACACGGCCCAGACUCCUACGGGAGGCAGCAGUGGGGAAUAUUGGACAAUGGGCGGAAGCCUGAUCCAGCAACGCCGCGUGAGGGAUGACGGCCUUCGGGUUGUAAACCUCUUUCAGCACAGACGAAGCGCAAGUGACGGUAUGUGCAGAAGAAGGACCGGCCAACUACGUGCCAGCAGCCGCCGUAAUAC